AUUGAACGCUGGCGGCAUGCCUUACACAUGCAAGUCGAACGGCAGCACGGGUGCUUGCACCUGGUGGCGAGUGGCGAACGGGUGAGUAAUACAUCGGAACGUACCUUAUCGUGGGGGAUAACGCAGCGAAAGCUGUGCUAAUACCGCAUACGCCCUGAGGGGGAAAGCGGGGGAUCGAAAGACCUCGCGCGAUUAGAGCGGCCGAUGCCUGAUUAGCUUGUUGGUGGGGUAAAAGCCCACCAAGGCGACGAUCAGUAGCUGGUCUGAGAGGACGAUCAGCCACACUGGGACUGAGACACGGCCCAGACUCCUACGGGAGGCAGCAGUGGGGAAUUUUGGACAAUGGGGGGAAACCCUGAUCCAGCAAUGCCGCGUGAGUGAAGAAGG
rnacentral:rRNA from 1 species